GUUUAAGUUAGUGGUGAUUACCCGUGUAACCUGCAUGUAGAACUUGCUGUGGUUUUUGUCAUUGUAUUCUUAACAGGAGUUCUGACAUUUUUUUCAGAUAUUUGGAAUAAUAACGGAAUAAGACGAUGAAACCACAGAUGGAUAGCAGAGACAGAUGGUGCGGAAGAGAAGAUGAAGACUGAAAAUUCAGAGAG